GUGUUAUCCGCCGCGGUAAUACGAAGGGGGCUAGCGUGGUUCGGAUUUACUGGGCGUAAAGCGCACGUAGGCGGACUAUUAAGUCAGGGGUGAAAUCCCGGGGCUCAACCCCGGAACUGCCUUUGAUACUGGUAGUCUUGAGUUCGAGAGAGGUGAGUGGAAUUCCGAGUGUAGAGGUGAAAUUCGUAGAUAUUCGGAGGAACACCAGUGGCGAAGGCGGCUCACUGGCUCGAUACUGACGCUGAGGUGCGAAAGCGUGGGGAGCAAACAGGAUUAGAAACCCCCGUAGUUC
rnacentral:rRNA from 1 species